GAGUCUUCCAUGCCGCGGCCUCACUAACCCGUUGAGCACAAGGGCUCGGUGAUUCCGCAGUACACUGCCUCCCCUGCGACAGGUAGUAGAUUAGCAGCGCCGCUUUCACUUGUUUCCACCACAUUGGAGAGAAAGAGGAGAAGCAUUGGAUUCUUGCAAGAACAGGGGAGAUGGAUAUGGUGGCUGAUGAACGUCGUCACAUUAGAGCCGGGUUCAUUCUCUAUGCUUUGGAAGAAAACUGAUGGCGCUCACAAGUGCUCUUUGCUGGAACCUCCACUUCUGAGGAAUCUUCUUUGCAUUAUGAUAUAUAGUUGCUAUGCAACAACCUGUAAUAAUAUGAUGUAUGGAGUAUGGACCCAUGGCAAACUUCUCUUCUCAUUUAAUGGUGGUCCAUCAUAAGUGAUGUCUACUUUGGUAGAAUCCAUCUUAUUUUUGUGGUCUGUUGUGAUUUAGCAUUAAAAAGACUCACUUUUCCCCAAUUCA